UACGUAGGGUGCAAGCGUUAAUCGGAAUUACUGGGCGUAAAGCGUGCGCAGGCGGUUUUGUAAGUCAGAUGUGAAAUCCCCGGGCUUAACCUGGGAACUGCGUUUGAGACUACAAGGCUAGAGUGUGGCAGAGGGGGGUGGAAUUCCACGUGUAGCAGUGAAAUGCGUAGAGAUGUGGAGGAACACCGAUGGCGAAGGCAGCCCCCUGGGUUAACACUGACGCUCAGGCACGAAAGCGUGGGGAGCAAACAGG
rnacentral:rRNA from 1 species